GAUGAAGAACGCAGCGAAAUGCGAUAAGUAAUGUGAAUUGCAGAAUCCAGUGAAUCAUCGAAUCUUUGAACGCACAUUGCGCCCGCCAGCAUUCUGGCGGGCAUGCCUGUUCGAGCGUCAUUUCAACCCUCGACCUCCCCUUGGGGAGGUCGGCGUUGGGGACCGGCAGCACACCGCCGGCCCUGAAAUGGAGUGGCGGCCCGUCCGCGGCGACCUCUGCGUAGUAAUACAGCUCGCACCGGAACCCCGACGCGGCCACGCCGUAAAACACCCAACUUCUGAACGUUGACCUCGAAUCAGGUAGGACUACCCGCUGAACUUAAGCAUAUCAAUAAGCGGAGGA
rnacentral:misc_RNA from 1 species